rnacentral:lncRNA from 1 species
AAUUCAACUCAAACAAGUUCCAAUUAAUCAUACAACAGAACCUAACUCAUCAUUUUUCCACUUAGACCAAUAUUUCUCAAAUUCACCUGUUAAACCCCCCCUCCCCUAAUUUUAAACAAAAUCAACUAGUAAAUCAUCUUAAUACUUCCUUCUCAACAUUUCACUCAAGCGAACAUCACCAACAUUCAAAACCACAAAAUUUCAUAACCAACUCAAUUCAAACAUAAUCAUUAUAGUCCAAGAACAUCCAUAAAAGUAUCAAACAUCCAAAAGCUAAUAACAAACAUGCAAAAUCACAAUUUCCACUAAAAUAGAUAUUCCUAUUUCCAACCAAGCCAAUAAAUUCUAUGACCAAUCUUAAAUCAUGCCAAUCAUAUAAAAAUAAAAUCAACAAAAAGUCACUAACUUCCAUUACCUUAAAAAGAACUACUAAGUUCUAAGAAAACACAACAGUUGCUUCUAGUACAAGGAACUCUAAAAUUGUCUACAAACUACAAAAUUUGAUCCAAAUCAACCAUUAG